CAGUCACUCAUAUAAUUAUUUGUUAUUAGUACGUUUGAGACAAAAUUAAGGUAAAACAUAUGACGACAAUUUUGGGGAUGUCUUUACACUUUCAGGAUUCGAAAUCGAGACAAUGUAAAAAUAAAUAUGGAUGAAAUGUUUGUGAAAUUAGUGCAUUCGCUGGAAUUUUAUAGCAACAAAUGAUAUAUUAAAUAAAGUCAGUCAUGACAGCUCAGACAUACCUGGACAGAAGAAAGCGCAGCGGCUGUUGGCGUCUCACGAGUCAGAAAGCGACUGGCCGCAAACUUCUUACAGAAACACACAGAUCACCUUUCCUUUCGCCUUACCGGGAGUUGACGGUUGGAGAUGCAGUAGGAGGGGAACCUCCCCCACCAGGUUCCCUACCCCACACCAGUCCUCGCAACUAUUCACGUAGAACUAAUUUUCGCGUUGACACUCUCGUUUCAUGUAACAUCCAUCCCCACCACAAGUCCUCCCCACCACAGCCACACAAAACUUGGCUCCUGAUCUGUGGCAAAAUAAUGGAAGUUAAAAAUGUCCAGGUUCCGAAUUCGGGUACAAAAACCUCGUUUAUAACUGUGUAUACAUGUUUAAAUAUUUUGGCAACAUCCUCUUCAGUGUUGAAUACAGAGUGCGUUCGAAAAGUCGCUGUGCUAUUGUUGUUAUCCAGAACACCCAAUCACAGGAGAGGACCUUGUUAAUGUACUUAUAAAUAAAAUUAAGUGUCCAAAGAUGCAAGGGACGGUCAUUUCUAACACUACUUACACACGUCAUGUAAUCUUUGUCUAGUGUAUUAUGUGAUUCGUGGUUAACUGUACAGUGAUUUUUCUAUGCUCUGUGCAAGAACAGCUUAAGCAGCGAUACGAGAUUUGAGCUUUUCAGUGCGGUAAAUAUGUCGUUGUUGUUAAAGGCAGACGGCGUUUUGGAGGAACACGCUACCUUCACAUUCAACCCUGACGAUGGAGGUAGUAUGUUCCUACAGAAGACCAACAUCCACAGUUCAGGAACUAUCAUAAGUAGGCUAACGUUCACAAUAAUGUACAACACAUUGUCAGGGCACCGGAAGGAUAAAUUUAGAUUAAUACUUUUGGACCUAAGAUGGACCCGUGCCAGAAGGAAUCCGUAAUAUUUACUUUGCCAGGGGAAAUUGAGACAACACAGCGCCCGGUUCGAAGGAUGAGCCCAGAUAGGCGAAAUGGUUCCAUACGACACUCGAAUCCACAAGAGAAGGACGAUAAAGAUUAAUAUAAGAAACUUUAUGUGGUGCUACAUCUGAUGGUUUUGAAUGACUAAACCAGAAUAUCCCAGUAUUUUUAUACCUUCGACACAGUUGAUUGUAGUCUGAAAUUUGACGGCACACAGGGGUUUUGAGGAGGGGAUACUUUUUAGUAGUUGCCACACUGCAGAUUCAUCACGUUUAGUGCUUGUGGGUAUACAGCUUCCUACAGACAUCUAGCGUAAGUUACUAUGAAAGCGCAAUCUAUUUUUCAAAUUACUAUUACGGCCUAACGUAACUUUCUGGCCUUGGUGGACAAAAAUAUGUUGCAAAAGCAAUAAUUAACAUCGUUAGGAUUUGUAGCUGACAAAAAGGAACACUUGAACCGGUUAAGGCAGUUCUAGAGAGAUGGUUUUCAAAUAAUUAAAAUUAUAACUGAAUUCACCUAAAAUGCUAUACGUGUAUUUUUUGGGGCCUCUCGAUUGGUUCCACCACCCCUGGUUAGCGAAAAAAAAAUCAGAGAGGUUGAGUUGGUCUCGGCAGGUACCUCGGGCAAAGAAAACAAGAAACGAACAUGGAAUGGAGGAAGCCCGGCCAUUUUGAGUACCGAGUCGGAUAAAACUAAAAUUAAGGAAAUGGGCCCCAAAACUGUGAAUCUAACUAAUUACCUCUAGUAUUAGCAGUAUCGAAUCAUCGAUUUCUGUCACCGGAGAGUUGGUUAACUUCGUUGUUAUGGAAUAAUGAAGAAAGGGCUGUAAUAUGAUGAUAAAGUGAACCGCGGUUGUGCUUCAAAUAGGGUUCAACUUCAACCAAUAAGCAAAGUAUAAAUGUCCUCUGAGAUGCAUUACGUAACAAAGCGAAAAGACGAAAAUAAGACAUUCAACAAGCAACAAGAAAAAAUAAAGCAAUGCAGGAAGAGAGACGAAGAAAAGUGUGGAUGUAGGAAGAAAUGAACAAGGAAAGACUAUCUCCAGGAAGGCUCGUGGGUGGCAUUACGAAACGUCGUUUCAUUUCCCUGUCAUCAAUCAAUGGUAGGUAAUUGUUGAGAAGGCGCAAUUAGUCGGGAUGUGACGUGAUACGGCUCUCUGCUAAUGCAGCGUCCACCAGUCACUCGUCUUUAAUCUUGAUGGACAAAGUAAUUACACCAAACAAAAACCACGACAAUGAUUAAUAGCCUAUAUCGAUAUAUGAGGUGAGCAGUUUUAAUACGAAGUGUAUUUAUAUUCAUUGGAUGGACGGAGGGAGUCGAUUUCGCCGAGCCAUUGCCUUAUUUGUUCUAACCUCGAUACGAUCAGCUGAGAUUGCGCGGGGCGCGAACCCUUGCGGGAAGUGGACGCUACUGAUUGAUCAAACAAGCUGUUCAUUACGACUAAUUGUAGAUCAGAUCGAUAGAUGUGAAAAUGAUUUAUGACUAUACCAAAAAUAUUUGCAGCGUCAUCGGUUAUUAACACAGUCCACACUUCUUACUUAUAUUUAUUUUUCAGCGACGUAAUUAAAUUGCAGUUUUAGUCUACAGAUGAUCUUAUUAUUGUAAUCUUAGACCUGUUUCGGCGCCCUGAUAAUGGAAGCAGGAAGCAUCUCUGAAACGUUGGUAAACGUCUACUAGACUACAGUGUGCAGCAUUGCAGAAGACAGACGUCUUCAUGCGCGCCACCGUGAGAACCUAAAAUCUCAUCAAGGUUAACUAUAACUGUGUCCGGUGUUCGAUGUAUGUUACUUCUCCAGACACCAGCUGAUACUGACGUGCAAUUAAUCGCUUUGUACGUACGUGCACGUGUUGUUUACAAUUCUAUAAGAUUAAUCAGCACACGAUAUCGUUGUGACUAUUCAAGAACCCACGCAUUCAAGAACGUCACGUCAUGUUGAAACCUGUUGGCGCCAGCCCAUCAGUUGUCUUUCAACAGUCGAAGUGCAACGAGAGUUCUGCCUGGCUCAUCGUUUCUACUAAACUUGCCAAAAUGAGGUUAGGGAUAUAUUUCCCGAUUCUCCUCUGACAAAAUAAAAAUCGACAAUAGCUCAUCCGGUGAACCGUUUCCGUGGCACAAGAACUCAUCACCGGUGCGUGGACAUUUCCAACGCUUGUCUUUUUGUGAUUUCAGUGUAAUUUUUUUAAAAAUAUAACUUAUAUCGGGAA